rnacentral:misc_RNA from 1 species
AAUUUCAUUUAUUAUGUUACAAAAACAUAACUAAAACACGCAUUUUGUUUGUAUUGUUUAUUUCUAUAUAUUUUUCUUAUUUUUUCGUUGCAAAGUAAAAAUGCAGCGGCGUACAAAGAACACUGCAGAUACCAAAAGAAUUCAAUCACUCAAGGCCUUGUUCAAAAAAGUGGUUCGCAUAAUGAGCCUAAAUGAUCCCUGGAAAGAAAACGAAGAUGACCCAAGGAUUUCUUCAAACGUCAUGAGGAAUUUGCCUACGAGAGGGCGCACAAAGUCCAAAUCGGGCUUCCUAACUGCAGCGGAUAAAUCUUUGAUUCGAACACCGCACGUGAUUCGAACAAUUCCGGAAAGAAUGAAAUUAUGUAAACUGUUUGCUAAGUUGACAUGUUUGUCAGGCUUCAGUCCAAAAAUUCGAGCUCGAUUAGUUCCUGUGGUGCGUUUGAUGCCCGUCGAUGCUGGUCGCAUUAUCAUCAGGCAAUCGGAUGCGCCCAUAACCGUGUUUUUUGUGCUUACAGGGCAAGUACAUAUGAUAAAUAACGAAAAUAACCAGAAGGGAGAAGGAGUGGUCAUGGGCUUUCUUGGAGCUGGUGAUAUGAUGGGCCAUGUGGAGCUCUUAGAAGGCAUCAAACGAACUCACACGUUCAGAGCAGCAAAUCGUGGAAGCUUGUCGAUAUGGGAGGCUAAAGCAAUUCGACCCACUGGAUACCAUAUUCUGUGAGGAUAUAGGAUCCAUGACCAAUGUCCACUUUGUGCUCAGUGGAGAAUGUCUGAUACUGCAGUGUCUGAAUAUAAGGGUUUCUAUGAAAAGGGGAAAAAAGGUAUAUGAACUUUUGCCGGCGUCUGAAGGUGAUGUGUCGAAAAUGUUUAGAAAAGCCGUCAGAUCCA